CGGUGUUUAACUGGCGUGAUGUGGGACGUCCUACCGGUGGGCUUAGCCUCGCGAGGGGCGGCCCAACUAAUAUCCCGUCGCGGUGCUCUUUACUGAGUGUCGAGUCGGGCCGGUACGUUUACUUUGAACAAAUUAGAGUGCUUAAAGCAGGCUAUCCUCGCCUGAAUACUGCGUGCAUGGAAUAAUGGAAUAGGACCUCGGUUCUAUUUUGUUGGUUUUCGGAACCCCGAGGUAAUGAUUAAUAGGGACAGAUGGGGGCAUUCGUAUUGCGACGUUAGAGGUGAAAUUCUUGGAUCGUCGCAAGACGGACAGAAGCGAAAGCAUUUGCCAAAAAUGUUUUCAUUAAUCAAGAACGAAAGUUAGAGGUUCGAAGGCGAUCAGAUACCGCCCUAGUUCUAACCAUAAACGAUGCCAGCUAGCGAUCCGCCGAAGUUCCCCCGAUGACUCGGCGGGCAGCUUCCGGGAAACCAAAGCUUUUGGGUUCCGGGGGAAGUAUGGUUGCAAAGCUGAAACUUAAAGGAAUUGACGGAAGGGCACCACCAGGAGUGGAGCCUGCGGCUUAAUUUGACUCAACACGGGAAACCUCACCAGGCCCAGACACCGGAAGGAUUGACAGGUUGAUAGCUCUUUCUUGAUUCGGUGGGUGGUGGUGCAUGGCCGUUCUUAGUUGGUGGAGCGAUUUGUCAGGUUAAUUCCGAUAACGAACGAGACUCUAGCCUGCUAAAUAGGCGUACCUUAUGGUAUCGCGAAGGCCCCCGGCUUCGGCCGGUGGGUUUUUACUACCAACGUACAAACAAAUCUUCUUAGAGGGACAGGCGG
rnacentral:rRNA from 1 species